rnacentral:rRNA from 14 species
CUGGUUAUCUUGUACUGAAUACAUAGGUGCAAGAGGCGAACCAGGGGAACUGAAACAUCUAAGUACCCUGAGGAAAAGAAAUCAACCGAGAUUCCCUAAGUAGUGGCGAGCGAACGGGGACUAGCCCUUAAGUGGCUUUGAGAUUAGCGGAACGUUCUGGAAAGUACGGCCAUAGUGGGUGAUAGCCCUGUACGCGAAAAUCUCUUGUCAAUGAAAUCGAGUAGGACGGGGCACGAGAAACCUUGUCUGAACAUGGGGGGACCAUCCUCCAAGGCUAAAUACUAGUAAUCGACCGAUAGUGAACCAGUACCGUGAGGGAAAGGCGAAAAGAACCCCGGGAGGGGAGUGAAAUAGAUCCUGAAACCGCAUGCAUACAAAAAGUCGGAGCCGCAAGGUGACGGCGUACCUUUUGUAUAAUGGGUCAGCGACUUACAUUCAGUGGCGAGGUUAACCGAAUAGGGAAGCCGUAGAGAAAUCGAGUCCGAACAGGGCGACAGUCGCUGGGUGUAGACCCGAAACCAGGUGAUCUACCCAUGGCCAGGAUGAAGGUGCGGUAACACGCCCUGGAGGUCCGAACCCACUAAUGUUGAAAAAUUAGGGGAUGAGCUGUGGGUAGGGGUGAAAGGCUAAACAAA